UGUCGUCAGCUCGUGUUGUGAAAUGUUGGGUUAAGUCCCGCAACGAGCGCAACCCUUAUCCUUUGUUGCCAGCGAUUAGGUCGGGAACUCAAAGGAGACUGCCAGUGAUAAACUGGAGGAAGGUGGGGAUGACGUCAAGUCAUCAUGGCCCUUACGACCAGGGCUACACACGUGCUACAAUGGCGCAUACAAAGAGAAGCGACCUCGCGAGAGCAAGCGGACCUCAUAAAGUGCGUCGUAGUCCGGAUUGGAGUCUGCAACUCGACUCCAUGAAGUCGGAAUCGCUAGUAAUCGUGGAUCAGAAUGCCACGGUGAAUACGUUCCCGGGCCUUGUACACACCGCCCGUCACACCAUGGGAGUGGGUUGCAA
rnacentral:rRNA from 2 species